rnacentral:rRNA from 1 species
AGAGUUCGAUCCUGGCUCAGGAUGAACGCUGGCGGCGCGCCUAACACAUGCAAGUCGAACGGCACCCACCUCCGGGUGGAAGCGAGUGGCGAACGGCUGAGUAACACGUGGAGAACCUGCCCCCUCCCCCGGGAUAGCCGCCCGAAAGGACGGGUAAUACCGGAUACCCCGGGGUGCCGCAUGGCACCCCGGCUAAAGCCCCGACGGGAGGGGAUGGCUCCGCGGCCCAUCAGGUAGACGGCGGGGUGACGGCCCACCGUGCCGACAACGGGUAGCCGGGUUGAGAGACCGACCGGCCAGAUUGGGACUGAGACACGGCCCAGACUCCUACGGGAGGCAGCAGUGGGGAAUCUUGCGCAAUGGGGGGAACCCUGACGCAGCGACGCCGCGUGCGGGACGGAGGCCUUCGGGUCGUAAACCGCUUUCAGCAGGGAAGAGUCAAGACUGUACCUGCAGAAGAAGCCCCGGCUAACUACGUGCCAGCAGCCGCGGUAAUACGUAGGGGGCGAGCGUUAUCCGGAUUCAUUGGGCGUAAAGCGCGCGUAGGCGGCCCGGCAGGCCGGGGGUCGAAGCGGGGGGCUCAACCCCCCGAAGCCCCCGGAACCUCCGCGGCUUGGGUCCGGUAGGGGAGGGUGGAACACCCGGUGUAGCGGUGGAAUGCGCAGAUAUCGGGUGGAACACCGGUGGCGAAGGCGGCCCUCUGGGCCGAGACCGACGCUGAGGCGCGAAAGCUGGGGGAGCGAACAGGAUUAGAUACCCUGGUAGUCCACGCCGUAAACGAUGGAUACUAGGUGUGGGGGGUCUGACCCCCUCCGUGCCGCAGUUAACACAAUAAGUAUCCCACCUGGGGAGUACGAUCGCAAGGUUGAAACUCAAAGGAAUUGACGGGGGCCCGCACAAGCGGUGGAGUAUGUGGUUUAAUUCGACGCAACGCGAAGAACCUUACCAAGGCUUGACAUUGAUUGAACGCUCUAGAGAUAGAGAUUUCCCUUCGGGGACAAGAAAACAGGUGGUGCAUGGCUGUCGUCAGCUCGUGUCGUGAGAUGUUGGGUUAAGUCCCGCAACGA